AUUGAACGCUGGCGGCAGGCCUAACACAUGCAAGUCGAACGGUAGCACAGAGAGCUUGCUCUCGGGUGACGAGUGGCGGACGGGUGAGUAAUGUCUGGGAAACUGCCCGAUGGAGGGGGAUAACUACUGGAAACGGUAGCUAAUACCGCAUAACGUCUUCGGACCAAAGUGGGGGACCUUCGGGCCUCACACCAUCGGAUGUGCCCAGAUGGGAUUAGCUAGUAGGUGGGGUAAUGGCUCACCUAGGCGACGAUCCCUAGCUGGUCUGAGAGGAUGACCAGCGACACUGGAACUGAGACACGGUCCAGACUCCUACGGGAGGCAGCAGUGGGGAAUAUUGCACAAUGGGCGCAAGCCUGAUGCAGCCAUGCCGCGUGUAUGAAGAAGGCCUUCGGGUUGUAAAGUACUUUCAGCGGGGAGGAAGGCGAUGGAGUUAAUAGCUUCAUCGAUUGACGUUACCCGCAGAAGAAGCACCGGCUAACUCCGUGCCAGCAGCCGCCGCCG
rnacentral:rRNA from 1 species